UAUAGGAUGGGGAUGCGUCUGAUUAGCUUGAUGGCGGGGUAACGGCCCACCAUGGCGACGAUCAGUAGGGGUUCUGAGAGGAAGGUCCCCCACACUUGGAACUGAGACACGGUCCAAACUCCUACGGGAGGCAGCAGUGAGGAAUAUUGGUCAAUGGGCGCGAGCCUGAACCAGCCAAGUAGCGUGCAGGAUGACGGCCCUAUGGGUUGUAAACUGCUUUUAUGCGGGGAUAAAGUCGGCUACGUGUAGCCGUUUUGUAGGUACCGCAUGAAUAAGGACCGGCUAAUUCCGUGCC
rnacentral:rRNA from 1 species